rnacentral:sRNA from 1 species
CCCUAGCCCUGAUGGAAACGACAUCCUUUCUUGCCGGAGUUCGGCGAGAAAGAUAUAGUGUACAGCAGGAAAUAGC